GACGAACGCUGGCGGCGUGCCUAAUACAUGCAAGUCGAACGAGAGCGACCGGUGCUUGCACUGGUCAAUCUAGUGGCGAACGGGUGAGUAACACGUGGGUAACCUGCCCAUCAGAGGGGGAUAACAUCCGGAAACGGAUGCUAAAACCGCAUAGGUCUUCGAGCCGCAUGGCUUGAAGAGGAAAAGAGGCGCAAGCUUCUGCUGAUGGACGGACCCGCGGUGCAUUAGCUAGUUGGUGAGGUAACGGCUCACCAAGGCCGUGAUGCAUAGCCGACCUGAGAGGGUGAUCGGCCACAUUGGGACUGAGACACGGCCCAAACUCCUACGGGAGGCAGCAGUAGGGAAUCUUCCGCAAUGGACGCAAGUCUGACGGAGCAACGCCGCGUGAGUGAAGAAGGUUUUCGGAUCGUAAAACUCUGUUGUUAGAGAAGAACAAGUGCUAGAGUAACUGUUAGCGCCUUGACGGUAUCUAACCAGAAAGCCACGGCUAACUACGUG
rnacentral:rRNA from 1 species